AUGUUCAGACAUGAGGAAGGAGAUGUAGCGGCAAGAGAGCAACAGUGGCUGGCAACAGAUGCUGUGAUUGGCAGUGUCAAUCAAGCAAACCAGGGGCUUUUAAAAGAGCAUCCCAGGGGCACGGUUUUCUGCGACAGACCACGACCUCACAUGCGACAUGUGAUAUUAGUUAGUGACAUUGAAGGUUUUAGCCCUGUGGACACCAAUGACUUUGACAACAAGGCCAUUUACAACGCCUUCUGGCGCGACUGUGUUGUGGACGGCAAUACCGGUUUCUACUCGGCGCAGGUCUUGGCGCUCGGAAUGACAACAGAAGAAGUGGAGGAUCCCCAAAAAAGAGUCCCGGUUCCGAAGGUUACAGUUGAAGAAGGUUCAGAUGACGAGACUCUGGUUCAGAGAAGGAGACAGGAAGCAAAGAAAAAGAAAACCAACCAAUCAGCUUCCAAAAAGGACAGCUACGUUAAAAUAUUGAAGCAGCAUAUGAAUCAAGCUCAUAAAAAAAAAAAAAAAAAAAACGCAUCGGGGGUUCGAAGCAACGGAGGAACCCGAAAAGGGGUUCAGAGCUCGUCUGACUCCGACGCUACAGCUAAUAUUAGCAAAAAGCUCCAACAUCCAGAAACAAAAAAAAAAAUGCAAAGAGCUCCGGGAGGAUAAUCUCUUUCUCCAGGACCAAUUAAAAGGAUAUCAAGCACUCCUUAGCUCCAAAAUGUUCAGACGUAAGUAA